UUAAAUUUAAUGAACUAAAAAAAACAAAAAACUUGAUUUAAAGGGAUACACUAGGCACCAAAACAUCUUGUUAUAUAUGUAUAGUUUUUGCAAAAUAUAUAUAUAUUUUGCAGAAAUCUGCACAAUAAUGUCUAACUGCUUAGCCAUGCACCUUUUAUUCUACAAGUUAUCAUGGAGUGGAGGGGGUAGAAGGCAGAGAGUUAUUUACCAAGAGCAUUGCCAUUGCAAUGGUAGCACAGUGUGGGAUAACUUCUACAUUCACUUGCCUCUUAAUACCUUGGAGCAGAGAUACAAUAUGCAUGAAGAGAGGACACAACUUGUGGGUGCUUGGAAAGUUCAGGGAACAAUCAUGAUGUCAUAGUAUUUGACUAAUGAUUCUUUUUACUAAUUUGAUUUCAGUCCGCUUCCAAAAUUAUUUAACCAUAAGUGACAGGCACAUGCUAGCAGUUAGCCAGGUGUUGCUCUACAGAAAAGGGAGAGAAAAAAAAAAAUUUAGAAAAAUAAAAAUGAAUUUUGUGAUCCUGACAGGCUACAAAGCCACAGAAGAAGAUUAAGGGAUUAAGUGCAUAUCUUGAAUAUAAAUAUAUAAUUAGGAAUUGUAGCCAUAU